GAUGAAGAACGUAGUGAAAUGCGAUAAGUAGUGUGAAUUGCAGAAUUCAGUGAAUCAUCGAAUCUUUGAACGCACAUUGCGCCCCUUGGUAUCCCGAGGGGCAUGCCUGUUCGAGCGUCAUUUCACCACUCAAGCCUGGCUUGGUGUUGGGCGACGUCCUCUUUGGGGACGCGCCUCGAAACGCUCGGCGGCGUGGCACCGGCUUUAAGCGUAGCAGAAUCUUUCGCUUUGGAAGUCGGGGCCCCGUCUGCCGGAAGACCUGCUCGCAAGGUUGACCUCGGAUCAGGCAGGGAUACCCGCUGAACUUAAGCAUAUCAAUAAGCGAAGGA
rnacentral:misc_RNA from 1 species